UACGGGGGGGCAAGCGUUGUUCGGAAUCACUGGGCGUAAAGCGCACGCAGGCGGAUUGAUAAGUCGGGGGUGAAAUCCCGGGGCUCAACCUCGGAAUUGCCUUCGAUACUGUCUGUCGUUGAGUCCGGGAGAGGUGAGUGGAAUUCCUAGUGUAGAGGUGAAAUUCGUAGAUAUUAGGAAGAACGACCAGGCUGGCGAAGGCGGCUCACUGGCCCGGUACUGACGCCUC
rnacentral:rRNA from 1 species